ACUUAAGCAAUUUCUUAAUUGUUCUUUGUAGUAUUUAUGUUUAAAUGAAUGACAUGUUACCAAUUAUUAGAUAAUGAAGAAAAAUUACAUAGAGGUUAGUGUUAAGAGAAGGUUUUCCUAUUUUGUGCAAUCUGGCUUAAACAUAAAUUGAUUGAUUGUGAUGAGAUGAGAUGGAAUGAUCGAUCACAAAGUAUUCUCUAAGCCGUUGAGUUUCUGUUAUAAAUUUGUAGGACCCAUGAGGAGCACAUGGCCCCAAUAUGUUUUGUGUGUAUUAGGACAAGAUUAGGGAAGGGCACCUUUGCGUGGGUACCCCACUGUUGGGUCAACUAGAGCAUAUUUCCCCACCUAAUGUACAGAAGGAUACCCUAAGCUAGACAAUGUUGUUCCCAUGUGCACAAAUUUAAGAGCAACAUUCCAAAACGACAACCUCCUUUGUGCUCUUUCUCUUCCCCUCUCAUAUUCUCAUAAGAUCUCAUCUUUUUGACAACAAGGAACUAGGUAAGAACAACACAAGUAUCUUCCACAUUCUAUAUGUUAAUUGGACUUGAUCCCAAACCCGAAACCUAGUUCAAAUAUGAGUGUGUCAAGCACAUACUAUACUAUACUAUAUAUAUAAAUGAGCUUCUCUCAAAAGCUAGCUUAAAAGUUG
rnacentral:lncRNA from 1 species